AGUGAACGCUGGCGGUAGGCCUAACACAUGCAAGUCGAACGGCAGCACAGUAAGAGCUUGCUCUUACGGGUGGCGAGUGGCGGACGGGUGAGGAAUACAUCGGAAUCUACUUUUUCGUGGGGGAUAACGUAGGGAAACUUACGCUAAUACCGCAUACGACCUACGGGUGAAAGCAGGGGAUCUUCGGACCUUUCGCGAUUGAAUGAGCCGAUGUCGGAUUAGCUAGUUGGCUGGGUAAAGGCCCACCAAGGCGACGAUCCGUAGCUGGUCUGAGAGGAUGAUCAGCCACACUGGAACUGAGACACGGUCCAGACUCCUACGGGAGGCAGCAGUGGGGAAUAUUGGACAAUGGGCGAAAGCCUGAUCCAGCAAUACCGCGUGGGUGAAGAAGGCCUUCGGGUUGUAAAGCCCUUUUGUUGGGAAAGAAAAGCAGCAGGUUAAUACCCCGCUGUUCUGACGGUACCCAAAGAAUAAGCACCGGCUAACUUCGUG
rnacentral:rRNA from 1 species